rnacentral:rRNA from 1 species
CAACACUUGACAUGUUCGUCGCGACUCUAAGAGAUUAGAGUUUUCGGUUCGGCCGGACGAAACACAGGUGCUGCAUGGCUGUCGUCAGCUCGUGUCGUGAGAUGUUGGGUUAAGUCCCGCAACGAGCGCAACCCUCACUUUUAGUUGCCAUCAUUAAGUUGGGCACUCUGAAAGAACUGCCAGUGAUAAGCUGGAGGAAGGUGGGGAUGACGUCAAGUCCUCAUGGCCCUUACGUGUUGGGCUACACACGUGCUACAAUGGUAUCUACAACAGGAAGCAAGACUGCGAAGUUAAGCAAAUCCCUAAAAGAUACCUCAGUUCGGAUUGCACUCUGCAACUCGAGUGCAUGAAGCUGGAAUUACUAGUAAUC